rnacentral:rRNA from 1 species
AGCGUGGAGACAGGUGGUGCAUGGCUGUCGUCAGCUCGUGUCGUGAGAUGUUGGGUUAAGUCCCGCAACGAGCGCAACCCUCACCCCUUGUUGCCACCGGGUCAUGCCGAGCACUCUAGGGGAACUGCCAGCGUUAAGCUGGAGGAAGGCGGGGAUGACGUCAAGUCAUCAUGCCCCUUACGCCCUGGGCUACACACGUGCUACAAUGGCCGGUACAAAGGGAUGCAAGACCGCGAGGUGGAGCUAACCCCAAAAAACUGGCCUAAGUUCAGAUUGCAGUCUGCAACUCGACUGCAUGAAGGAGGAAUCGCUAGUAAUCGCGCAUCAGCACGGCGCGGUGAAUACGUUCCCGGGCCUUGUACACACCGCCCGUCACACCACGAAAGCCGGCUGUACUCGAAGUCGCUGAG